CAGCCGCCGCGGGAACACGUAGGUGGCAAGCGUUAUCCGGAAUUAUUGGGCGUAAAGGGCUCGCAGGCGGUUUCUUAAGUCUGAUGUGAAAGCCCCCGGCUCAACCGGGGAGGGUCAUUGGAAACUGGGAAACUUGAGUGCAGAAGAGGAGAGUGGAACUCCACGUGUAGCGGUGAAAUGCGUAGAGAUGUGGAGGAACACCAGUGACGAAGGCGACUCUCUGGUCUGUAACUGACGCUGAGGAGCGAAAGCGUGGGGAGCGAACAGGAUUAGAGACCCGAGUAGUCCCUGUCUCUUAUAC
rnacentral:rRNA from 1 species